rnacentral:rRNA from 1 species
UACGGGGGGGGGCAAGCGUUGUUCGGAUUUACUGGGCGUAAAGGGCGCGUAGGCGGCCAGCACAAGUCAGUUGUGAAAUCUCCGAGCUUAACUCGGAAAAGGUCAACUGAUACUGUGCGGCUAGAGUGCAGAAGGGGCAACUGGAAUUCUCGGUGUAGCGGUGAAAUGCGCAGAUAUCAGGAGGAACACCGAUUGCGAAGGCGGCCUUCUGGACAGUGACUGACGCUGAGACGCGAAAGCGUGGGGAGCAAACAGG